AACGAACGCUGGCGGCAUGCCUAACACAUGCAAGUCGAACGAGACCUUCGGGUCUAGUGGCGAACGGGUGCGUAACGCGUGGGAACCUGCCCUUAGGUUCGGAAUAACUCCCCGAAAGGGGUGCUAAUACCGGAUAAUGUCUUCGGACCAAAGAUUUAUCGCCUUUGGAUGGGCCCGCGUUGGAUUAGCUAGUUGGUAGGGUAAAAGCCUACCAAGGCGACGAUCCAUAGCUGGUCUGAGAGGAUGAUCAGCCACACUGGGACUGAGACACGGCCCAGACUCCUGGGGGAGGCAGCAGUGGGGAAUAUUGGACAAUGGGCGAAAGCCUGAACCAGCAAUGCCGCGUGAGUGAUGAAGGCCUUAGGGUUGUAAAGCUCUUUUACCCGGGAUGAUAAUGACAGUACCGGGAGAAUAAGCUCCGGCUAACUCCGUG
rnacentral:rRNA from 1 species